rnacentral:rRNA from 1 species
UGUGAAAUUUUUAAUUAAAUAGAAAUUCUCUAAUAAUCCUUUGGAACUAAAAAAUUUAGAUAGAAAACCAGGAUUAGAUACCCUGUUAUUCUAAAUAAUUACAUGAGUAGGGUAGUAAAAGUUGUUCUUCAAACCCAAAGAUUUUGGCGGCAUUCCAUCCUAAUAGAGGAGCUUGUCCUGUAAUUGAUAGACCUCAUUUUAUCUUACCCUUUUUUGUUUAGCUUGUAUACCGCCGUUGUCAGACUACUUUAAAAGAAUGUUUUCUAUAAAAAUAUUUUUUUCACUUCAGGUCAAGGUGCAGUUCAUGGAAGGGUAGCGAUGAGCUACAAUUUUUAAUAAAAAAAUACGGAUUUUAGUCUUAAAAAACUGGAGGAAGGUGGAUUUAUUAGUAAAUUUAUUUAAGUAUAAUAAAUUGAAUAAGGCAAUGGAA